UGCGCAGGCGGACUAUUAAGUCAGUGGUGAAAUCUCUUGGCUCAACCGAGAAACUGCCAUUGAAACUGAUAGCCUUGAGUGUAGUUGUAGUAGGCGGAAUAUAGCAUGUAGCGGUGAAAUGCUUAGAUAUGCUAUAGAACACCGAUCGCGAAGGCAGCUUACUAAACUAUUACUGACGCUCAUGCACGAAAGCGUGGGGAGCAAACAGGAUUUAGAUACCCUGGUAGUCC
rnacentral:rRNA from 1 species